CGAGAGGUCACUCUCGUCGCCAUUUUGUUUUUGGUGGUUUUUGUCUGGCUUCUUUACCGCAACCUGUUUUAUCAGCAAAGUCUUUAUAACCUGUAUUUUGUGCUGACCUCCUAUCUCAUCCUGUGACUUAGAAUGCCUUAACAACUGUCUGGAAUGCAGCCCGAUCUGUGGAGUGGCUGCAGCACCUGUGUUUCAGCCUGAAGAAUGGGCACAGUCCCUCUUUGGCAGACUGAAUGGAUGCUGCCAUACCAUCACACUGGAAAUGAGGAAUAUAACACCAUGAGGAAGAAUGGUUGUUUCACACACUGAUAUUUCAUGAUUCUGAAGAAGAAUUGGAGGUGAGACUUGAGAAAAUGGAGAAAAAGAUAUGCUUUGGAUUUUCUUGAAGACUAGAAGCUUUCUUAACCAUCCACCACCUUGUUGACUGGUUAUUAUUCUCUCUACCUUCUGUGAAACAAACUGAUGGAUACUAAUGGCACAAUUACACUUAUAGCUAGUCAGUUGCAUAGUUUAUGCACAUAGUUCUGCUUCCAGUGUUUAGUAAUGAGUUAAACAUUUUGGCUAUAUUUGUCUCUGAAGCUAUAAUUUCAAUUAAUCAUUAUGUAUAGCAAUAAUAACAAGUAAAACAAAAAGAAGAAUUUUUUGUUUCUAUGGUAAUUAUGUUGGGUGCUUUGGAUCCUCCCAAUAAAGUUGACUUCCUAAAAUAAUUACACUUGAAUUAGGUAUAGAGAAGCUAAUUGUAACAAAUUGAAAGUUACUGUAAAUCUUCUAAUCGUAGUUCUCUGCAAGUGUACUUAAGUUAUUGCUCCACUUGAAAUAAAUGAAAACUGGAAAUCUGAGGUGAUGAAUUAUGGGUCCCUUUUAUGUAAGAAAGAUGACAAGGAAAUCUAAUCUGCUGAGUUAUACUAAAAUAAAAUACCUUGGCCUGGGAUCAAAUAUAGGUGAAAGAAUUAACAUUUAUGUUUUUUAAUUAAGAUAAAAUGUACAAGUUUUAUGUACAUAUUUUAUGAUUUCCUGAUAUAACAAAAAGUGUUGAUAAAAGCACCCAAUACUGAUUCUAAUGACAUUUGAUUAGCAUUAAAGAGUUGCUAUUAUUAUUGUUGUUGUUGUCGUCAUUGUUAUUUGGUGACUGGGUGAAUAUUAGACACCCAGUUGCCGAAUGGGUGGUUGACAUCCACCACCACUGGCAAUGACCGAGCCAAGUAGAUACCAACAUUCAGGUGGGUGUGUAUAUUUUUACCUUUUUUGAAUGAACCCCUCCACUAUUCUUGGCAGCAAAAAACAUCAGAGAGAUUAAUCUAUACUAAUCAUUGUGUAACCCAUAGAUUAGCAACAUCAGCAUCACCUGGAAGUUUAUUAGAAAUUCAUCAUGUCAGGUUUAAGCCAAAACUUACUGAUCAGAAUCUGCAUUUUAAAAGACCCCAGGUGAUUUGUUUUCAAUUAAAGUUUGAAAAGCACUAGUCUAGAGUUUUCCUAGUGAACUCAUUAAUAAAUAACAGUUAGCAUUCCAGGUAUCGAGUGACACUUUUGAAAAGAUUUGAAGGCAUGAUUGGGA
rnacentral:lncRNA from 1 species